UACAGAGGGUGCAAGCGUUAAUCGGAAUUACUGGGCGUAAAGCGUGCGUAGACGGUUAUGUAAGUCGGGUGUGAAAGCCCCGGGCUCAACCUGGGAAUUGCAUUCGAGACUGCGUAGCUAGGGUGCGGAAGAGGGAAGCGGAAUUUCCGGUGUAGCGGUGAAAUGCGUAGAUAUCGGAAGGAACACCAGUGGCGAAAAGCGGCUUCCUGGUCCAGCACCGACGUCAGGCACGAAAGCGUGGGGAGCAAACAGG
rnacentral:rRNA from 1 species